GAAUAUUCCACCUGCCUUGACAUGUGUGCCAUCACUCCAUAAUCCAACCAGCUUCAACUUUUCUAGCCCUUUCAGGCGUUAAGCAUCCUUCCUAACCCUACACUCUGAGGUAAGCAUGUCCUCUCAUGCUCAAGGAACUGUGUAAAAUGGAAUACGUUAUAAUUACUGUGUUUAUACCAUAUAGAUCUACUAAACAGAAAGUUGAUAGAAGUUUUCCCAAAAUUAACAACAGUCCUAAAAGUUUACCGACCUUACGAACAAUGAGAAGUGAAGCAGAGAAAAAAAUUCUAAACUAUUAGACAUACCCCCAAACCAAUGUUCAUCGUCAUGCUAGAGGAAAGUCUAAAUUAUCUCUACAUUCUCGUUACAGAAAAUGUUACUGUAGAAUUGUCAUAAGAAGACUUAAUUGAAGAUUAUACAGCCAAAUUAUAGAAAU
rnacentral:lncRNA from 10 species